UUUCUCCUGUCAAAUUGAUGUUAAUUAAUAGAUAAAAUUGUGAUAUUCUUUAGCAAAAUAAAGUGGCUGAUCAUAAGUUCUAACAAAGAUUUCAACCAUUGAUAUUCCUCCUACGAUAAGUUCAUAGUUUUUAAGUUUAUGAUUUAAAUUGUUGAAAAACAUCAACUUUUAUUAUUUUACUUUGUCGAGCUUAUGUAUUUUAUGGUAGCUCAUCUCAUUGCAUGUUAUAUAUACGCCUUUUUGUUUCAUUUAGAAGUCUAGGAGGCAACAAUUUUUUUGUUCAACAUGCGUUUUAGUGGUGAAAUGGCAUUUUCAUAUUGGAAAUCUAUGACAAUACAACGGACUAUUUAAUUUCCUGUUUAUGGGGAUUGAAAAGGGUGUUAUUCUUCAGGAAGCUAGGGUUUUCAAUGAUCCUCAAUUGAAUGCAACAAGAUGCUCAUAGAUAGUGUUAUUUGGAGUUCAAGGGGAAUAAUGGGUGAACACUACAACAAAGUUGCUUGAUAGAGCAAUGGGUGGUUCAUUUAGAGGUUUAAUGACUUUUGACGAGCAACAAGUAUUGUUGCGUUGUUAGUAUCAUUUGCUCUUCCUUUUAAGGAGCUAUGGUCUAUCAAUUAGAAUAAAGGACAGGCUAAGCUCUUAAAAUAAUGACAACAAAGAGAUGGAGAUACUCCAAAACUUUUUGUAAUUUUUGAAGUGGCAAGAAGUAUGAUUACCAACCAAGCUGAUGACUAUAACUCCUGCUCAGAGGAAAUGAUGAUUUCAACUAAAGAAAUUUAUUUGGACAACUACUGAGGCAAAUGAAAGCAAGACAUCUUGACGCUCUGACUACUGGACAUGUGAGGCUACAACAUAUGCAACAAAUCAAAAUAUGUUCAAAACAGAGAGAUCAAAAAACAAAUCCAUCUACAAUGCUAAAAGAAAAUGCAAAUCAAACGGCAGGAAAGUAGAGCUCACAUACAUUUUAGUUUUUUUUUAAAAAAAAAAGAUUUGUGAGAGGAAGUGA